AGAGCCUGAGCGCUGAAAUUCUCAUCCGCCACUCACAGCAUGGCAGCCUCCUUGACCCACACCCAAGUUCCGCUUCCGGGAUGGAAGCCUACGUCAUUUCCCCUCUGGUUGCCCUAGCGACCCUUGGAAGCCAAGAAUAUGAGACAGUCUCUGCUUCCUUCUCGCCCUUCCUCUUCCUUUUCUCCGCUCCGGGGCAGCUGACGGAGCCGCUCCAAGGCUGCUGGCCGCGGCUAGUCGGGUGCAGCAGAAGUCUCAGGUAGCUGAGAAGUUCGUGGAAUUUUCUUCUUUGGGACACUUUUUACAAUUGCUUGUGAUAUAGUGCAGGGUUGGGAUGUACAGACAUUUCUCAAGUGCACUGUGUACCUACACAGCACAUUGCAAUUUGGCUACUGAAGUCAAGAGAAACUGGUUUAGACAACUGGUGAGUGUAACAUAGGAAGCACAUUUCAUUUGAUAAUAGGAACAUAGCUUUUGUGCUAAUAAAACGCUUUGAAAAUUA